UACCUCUCAGGAUCACACCUGAAGAGUUUCCAGUACUCUACCAGUCUCGACUACAGGGGGGAGAGUCAAGCAGAAGUAUAUCCAUUCCAUUCCUAGCUUGGUCAGUGGCUAGCGAGCGGAAGACAAUCUGCUACAAGU